UGGGGAAUUUUGGACAAUGGGCGCAAGCCUGAUCCAGCCAUGCCGCGUGCAGGAAGAAGGCCUUCGGGUUGUAAACUGCUUUUGUCAGGGAAGAAAUCCUUUGGGCUAAUACCCCGGAGGGAUGACGGUACCUGAAGAAUAAGCACCGGCUAACUACGUGCCAGCAGCCGCGGUAAUACGUAGGGUGCGAGCGUUAAUCGGGAUUACUGGGCGUAAAGCGUGCGCAGGCGGCUUUGCAAGACAGAUGUGAAAGUCCCCGGGCUCAACCUGGGAACUGCAUUUGUGACUGCAAGGCUAGAGUGCGGCAGAGGGAGAUGGAAUUCCGCGUGUAGCAGUGAAAUGCGUAGAUAUGCGGAGGAACACCGAUGGCGAAGGCAAUCUCCUGGGCCUGCACUGACGCUCAUGCACGAAAGCGUGGGGAGCAAACNGGAUUAAUACCCUGGUAGUCCACGCCCUAAANGAUGUCAACUGGUUGUUGGACGGCUUGCUGUUCAGUAACGAAGCUAACGCGUGAAGUUGACCGCCUGGGGAGUACGGCCGCAAGGUUGAAACUCAAAUGAAUUGAC
rnacentral:rRNA from 1 species